AGUGAACGCUGGCGGUAGGCCUAACACAUGCAAGUCGAACGGCAGCACAGAGGAGCUUGCUCCUUGGGUGGCGAGUGGCGGACGGGUGAGGAAUACAUCGGAAUCUACUCUGUCGUGGGCGAUAACGCAGGGAAACUUACGCUAAUACCGCAUACGACCUACGGGUGAAAGCAGGGGACCUUCGGGCCUUGCGCGAUUGAAUGAGCCGAUGUCGGAUUAGCUAGUCGGCGGGGUAAAGGCCCACCAAGGCGACGAUCCGUAGCUGGUCUGAGAGGAUGAUCAGCAACACUGGAACUGAGACACGGUCCAGACUCCUACGGGAGGCAGCAGUGGGGAAUAUUGGACAAUGGGCGCAAGCCUGAUCCAGCCAUACCGCGUGGGUGAAGAAGGCCUUCGGGUUGUAAAGCCCUUUUGUUGGGAAAGAAAUCCAGCUGGCUAAUACCCGGUUGGGAUGACGGUACCCAAAGAAUAAGCACCGGCUAACUUCGUGCCAGCCGCCGCGGUAA
rnacentral:rRNA from 1 species